rnacentral:tRNA from 1 species
GCUAGGAUAGCUCAGUCGGUAGAGUAUGAGACUCUUAAUCUCAGGGUCGUAGGUUUGAGCCCCACAUCGGGCA